rnacentral:rRNA from 1 species
GACGAACCGUGCGGACGUUGUUCGGAAUCACUGGGCUUAAAGGGCGCGUAGGCGGGUUCGCAAGUCUGUGGUGAAAGCCUCCAGCUUAACUGGAGAAGUGCCAUGGAUACUGCGCAUCUUGAGGAGGGUAGGGGCGUCUGGAACGGUCGGUGGAGCGGUGAAAUGCGUUGAUAUCGACCGGAACUCCGGUGGCGAAGGCGAGGCGCUGGACCCUUUCUGACGCUGAGGCGCGAAAGCCAGGGGAGCAAACGGG